GUGGGGAAUCUUGCGCAAUGGGCGAAAGCCUGACGCAGCCAUGCCGCGUGAAUGAUGAAGGUCUUAGGAUUGUAAAAUUCUUUCACCGGGGACGAUAAUGACGGUACCCGGAGAAGAAGCUCCGGCUAACUUCGUGCCAGCAGCCGCGGUAAUACGAAGGGGGCUAGCGUUGCUCGGAAUUACUGGGCGUAAAGGGCGCGUAGGCGGACAGCUUAGUCAGAGGUGAAAGCCCAGGGCUCAACCUUGGAAUUGCCUUUGAUACUGGCUGUCUUGAGUUUGGGAGAGGUGAGUGGAACUCCGAGUGUAGAGGUGAAAUUCGUAGAUAUUCGGAAGAACACCAGUGGCGAAGGCGACUCACUGGCCCAAUACUGCCGCUGAGGCGCGAAAGCGUGGGGAGCAAACAGGAUUAGAUACCCCUGUAGUCC
rnacentral:rRNA from 1 species